UCACUCUCACUCUCACACUCUCACUCUCAGAACUGAGAACUCGUUCCAUGGAGCUUACGAUUUCAAGAGAUUUCCACCGAUUUCUCCUCGUUUUGCACCGAUUUGAUCUCGUUUUGCACCUAUUUGAUCUCGUUUUCCACCAAUUUCCACAGAUUUCAACCACCGCACGCCGCCGUAGCAACAGCCUCCUCCGCCGUCGUUCUCUCUGCGAUUUUCUCAUGGAUGCAUCGCUCAGAGACUCAACAACCUCUACUCCGUCGCAUGCUGCACUCUCUGAGAAACAAGAUUGAUUGGUUGAUUGGUUGAUUAGAGGCAAAACACACAAUCUACGAAACUGUGUAUUAGAUUAGCAUCCUCAUAUUGAGAGAGUGCUGGUUGGUGUUGAGGCUUACUAGAGCAUCAGAAGGCAUAAUUUUGACACUGGUUUAUCCUUCUUUGAGAGUGAUGAUGAAAUUGAGAGAGAUGGAGCCUGUGAAGACCAAGCAUCCUCAACUGCACUAUGAGUCAAAAUUGUAUAUGCUUCUUCAAGAGGGUAGUAAGUUUUUAUGCUUUUUCUCCCUCUUCCCAAUUUAUACACCUUCAUGUUCUUUCUUGUAGGCAAGACAUGUGUUUGUAGCUUUACAGUCAUAAAGUAAACUUGUCUUAAAAAUUUGUUCAUUUGUUAAUUUUUAUUUGUUGAAGCUGGGGUGCCCCAUAUAAAAUGGUAUGGAGUUGAGGGCAACUACAAUGUCAUGGUUAUUGACCUUCUUGGACCAAGUCUUGAAGACUUAUUUAACUAUUGCAAUAGGAAAUUCUCUCUGAAAACAGUCCUGAUGCUAGCUGAUCAGCUAGUAUGACUUUAAUUUCAAAAAAACUAUGCUUGUAACAGAAAGCUACUGUGUUCUCACACUUCCCCCAAUUUUAUAUGCCUUUGUGUAUAACAGAAAGUUGAGUACAUGCAUUCCUGGAGCUUUCUGCACUGUGAUAUAAAGCCUGAUAACUUCUUAAUGGAUUUAGGACGUAAGGCAAAUCAGAGCCUGGGUUGCAGCUGUGGCCAACAAACUAAGAGUGCAUGUAGAGCAAUACGUUUCAAAAGAUUGUAAACUGCAUCAGCAGUGCCAGGACGGAUUACAGAGCUCUAAUCCAGAUUCACUUAUCACGGGUAAUUUGCUAAAUGAGUAUACUGCUUUUAGUUUACAUCCUUUGGCUUAAAUAUGUUUUUAUUCCUUAUAAUAUACCCUCUUUCCAUUUUUAGUCUUUUUAAAAAAAAAAGUUUUCCAUCCUCAACAUAUCAAACGAUAUGUUUUUUUAGUCAUUGACAUCAAAUUUUCCACAAAAGGUUACAAUAAAAAUAACACCAAAAAGAAAACCUAUGAGGCCCAACAAGUGUAAGUCAACAACUAAGAAGAGCAAGGUACCUGUUGGUGGUGGUGAUGAAGUUGUAGUGCAUAAGAUUGAUGAUGAUGACCUGAAUGCUAUCGAUUGGCUCAUGAAGGAUGUGAGCUGUGUGGGAGUCAUUCAUUCUCUUAGAGAAGCUAAUGGGGAGGCUGAUGAACUAGCUAAAUCAGGCUGCGAUCGAGCUAAUCCUCUGUGUGAGAAACUAUUGUGAUGUGAUACUUAUUUUGGGCCCUCUGGUUUCAUGUUAUUGCUCCCUCAUUUCUGCUUCUGGCUGUCAUGAAAAGUGGUGCUCUAGCAAUAGUUCGCGGCAAGCUUCAUCCUCAUUGUGCACUCGCAAGCCUUGCUGAUGUGGAGCCAUGUUUAUUCCUGUGCUGUUUGAUUCACUAAUCUGUUAUUUCUUUUAUUUGCUUUGCUGCUCUUUUUUUUUUUGUUUUUACUUUCUAUUCUUCUGUUCUUGGCCCUUGCGUUCCUCUUGUUAGGAUCCUUGGCGCUGCCCUGCUUCUUUUUCCUGUAUAGCUUGGUGCUUUUGUCUUCUAUUUAAUUCCAAUAAAGUGCUUUUGCUUCCAAAAAAAAAAGAUUGAUGAUGAUGACUAUCAAACUGAAGAACUUCUUAGUGAUGCAUGUGAUGAAUACAAUGAUGAUUCUUCUACACAAAGGUUUGAGAGGUUUAAGGAAGAAGAUAUGAUACAAAAUCUCAUAGACGGAAGGGGUUCUUGGAACUGCUUCGGGAUGAAAAACUUAACGUCAAUGAUUAAAAACAGAACGUUUCAUAUGUUGGGGAUGGAAAAUGGAAAAAAAAGUAAACGGACUAAAAACGAAAAUAAAAUAAGGACGAAAAACAUAUUUUAGCCAAAUCAUUUUUACUUAUUUGAAUUCAUAUGUCCAUAUUCUACUAAAAAAAGGAAUUUUUAUUCGAAUAAGUUGACUUGUAAAUUGUAAUAUAAAUAUUUCUCUCUCCUAAUCUACAUAGUGCAUCUUCAUAAAAAAAAAAAAAGAGAAAAAGAUGAUGCACCGACAGUGUAAAGUUUUUUUACAUCGUCAAUCAAUCAUCAGAUUUCAAGGAUGUGUCACGUCAAUUAAUGAUAUUAAAUAAAAGGAGAGAUUCUCACAUCCUUAAAAUCUGAUUGGUUGACGGUGUAAAAAAGCUUUACACCGUGCAUAGAAAUUAAACUCAAAAAAAAAAACUUAUUAGUGCAUUGAGAUUGUUUUUUUUCUGUUACAUUUUUUUUGGGCUUAAAUGCACUUUUGGACCCUCAUGUUUUAACUUUUUGCGAUUGUCAACCCUCAUAUUUUUUUUCUACGAAUGGGAACCCUAUUCUUUUAAAACGCUACACUGUUUAUCCUUCCGUCCAAAUCCGUCAAAAACUUGAUGGAACACGCUGAUAUGACCUUCCACGUGGAUAAAAGGGGGAUUUAAAAAAAUGGCUUAAAUGCACUUUUGGACCCUCAAGUUUACAUUUUUUGCGAUUGUUGACCCUGAUCUUAUUUUUAGUUUGAAUGGAGACCCUAAUCUUUUAAAACAUUGCACCGUUUACCCUUCCGUCAGAAGGCCAGGUAAGUGAGUUCCGUCAAGUUUUUGACGGAUUUAGACGAAAGGGUAAACGGUGCAACAUUUUGAAAGAUUAGGGUCUCUACUCGUAGAAAAAUAAGAUCAGAGUCAACAAUCGCAAAAAAUAUAAACUUGGGGUCCAAAAGUGCAUUUUAGCCCUUUUUUUAUCUGAUGAUUAAGGUGUUUUUAGUUUACUCUUUUGGAUUUUAAAACUCCUUUUUAAUUUAUUUUAAUUCCUAUACAAGCUCUGGAAAGUUGACACAUGUCAAAACUGCCCCUCUAGAUUUAGAUUUAGAUUUUUUUUAAAAGGAGAUUUAUAUAUAUAUAUAUAUAUAUAUAUAGAUUUAAUUGCUAAGAAAAACUAUUGAAAGAUAAAAGCUGAUUAAUGACUAAUGAGAGUAUCAGACACAUGUCUUUUUUUUAAAAGGUACCAGACACCUGUCGCUCCUCAGGAUUUGUUGCAUAGCAAGUCCAAUAAAACCCCUUUUAAAAAAAGUCCAAUAAAAUUAAGGAUAAUUAUGAGUUAGGCAAAUAUGAAUUUCAAUUAUUAGUUUUAAAAAAAAAACGAAUUGCAAUUAAUUUUCAAAUUGAAUACGCGUUUUUUCUUCUUAAUGUUGUGAUAAUAACAACGGUAAAGCCCCUAAAAAAACCAACGGUAAAAUAUCGAUCAACAUCUUGAACAAAUCUUUUAUUUUUAAAUGACAUCUUGAACAAAUCUUUAAUGAUUUGAUUUUGAUAUCAUUAGAUAUUUUGUUUCUUUAAAAAAAUGAUAUUCGCUUGUCAUAUUUCAAGUUAAACGAUUAGUGAGUGUGCAGAUUAAGUCUCAAUUUACUCCUUGUGCAAGGAUCAAAGUUGCCAUUACUGUGUUCCCUUUUCUGAUCAAGAAGUGCAUAACAAUUCAUUCUUGAAGAGUAAGAUCGAGUCAUGUCGAUGAUGAUAGAUACUUAUUUCACAUGGGAACUUCGUCGUUCCCGAAUGGAUGAAGAUGACCGAGUGCUUGUUCGAACUCUGCAGCAAGAUUAUGUUGCCCUUGGAGAUUAUUUGUGCAUGGAAGUUCGCAUUAAACGUGAACUGUACAAUAGGCUUUAUCCAGAGAGUGAGAGCUCCAUUGUGGUAUCUUGGGAUGAAUUACUAAGCGGUGAUCUAUCAAGCAUCGAAAGAAACUUGUUUGAUCAUCAUAUCAUUCCCCCUGAGUUCAUUCCAUCACUGGCGUCAGAUGUGGUAUCACGUGCAAGCGAAUUGGUACAAGAUUGUCCCCUGAAUUCCAAUCAUGAAAGGCCACACAGGGUCAAAUUUGUUUUGAAUAUUACUGCUCCUGAUGAGUUAUUUAAGUUCUGGGAGUCCUGUAUGGAAGAGGAAGAAAGUGAAGAGGAAGAAAGUGAAGAACCCCAUCACCACAAGAGAGUGAGGGUGGAAGAAGGAGAGGAAGACAGUGAAGAACCCCACCAAAAGAAAGUGAAGGUAGAAGAAGAAGAUGCUGACGCAGAAGGCUGUUGUAUUUGUCUAACAGAGUAUGAAGAUGGUGUGCAGGUUCUACAAAUGCCUUGCAAGCAUCUGUAUCAUGAAGAGUGCAUUGUUCAAUGGCUAGAAGAAAGUCCAACUUGUCCUUUGUGUCGCUCUACCAUGCCCCUCACUGACUGAUUAGAAAUUUGUAUUUGAAUUCAAGUAAUUUGUCUUUAAAUUCUUAGACUUCAAUAGCUGUUAGAGAUUGUUAAUAAUAAUUUCUACUUUUCAAUACAUUUCAAACUAUUUUGGUUUCUGCAAUCUAGCUAGAAUGAUC